rnacentral:lncRNA from 1 species
GAUAUUGCCUCAUGCGACCUUAGGACAUGAUGGUUCUCCCAAGGCUCUAGAUGUGACCAGAAGUUUUCUGUUUAACCAAACCUUGAAAAUGGUUCCCUUUCACAACAAUAUUUAAAGGGUCAUGUAAAAUUACAUGGCUUGCAAAAACUAUAAACAGGAUAUAAAUGUAUGGUCUUUAAGCCAGUACAAUCUAUUCUGUCUUGGACAGCUUGAAUUAAGGAACCCAUGGAAACAGAUGACAUGUGCUAAUAACAGCAUCUUUGGGAAGAUGAUUUUGCUUUUCAUGAAGAAAGAAUGUUUUGAACUGUUGUACUGGAAUUUCAGUGCCUGCAAUGUUGAAGGUAGUUACAGAAAACUUAUUAUCCUGAUGCUGAGAAGCAAACACUUUAAGAGGGACAUCAGCUACUUGUGUCGCAGAGCAGCCCUGUUCCAGAGCAUCACCAGAACUCAUGGCCACAACCAGUGUAACCUCUGCAGUGGGUGUUGUUGUGCUGCCCUCACUAUAUGUGUGAUUCAGUCCUAUCAGUUGUGUCCAACUCUGCACCCCCAUGGACUGUUGCCCUCUGCAAGCUCCUCUGUCCAUGGGAUUUUUCCAGGCAAGAAUACUGGAGUGGGGUGCCAUGCCCUCCUCCAGGGGAUUUUCCCCAACCAGGGAUUGAACCCGUAUCUCUGACAUCUUAUGCAGUGACAGGUAGGUUCUUUACCAUAGUGCCACAGGGGAAGCCCACCAGACAAUGAGCUAGUGUCUUAUUUCACUCUUGUAAUAAUCCAUCAAAGUCCUUAUUAAUACUCUCAUCUCAGUUUAAUAGGAAAAGAGAGAGAGAAAAAGGAGAGUUAGAGGGUGAAUUCAUUUCCUCAACUGAGUGAUGAAAAGAGCUUUGUACCCUCGUCUCCCUGACUUCAAGACCCAGUCUCUUUUCAACCAUUUCACCAUUAAAUCAUGGUGCUAUGUUGCCAAGUAUGGAAGGUUUAAAGUAAGUGAGUGACAAGAUCAAUGCAGAAUUUUGGGUGGAAAAAAAAAGUCUAAACGGGGUGUGCGAUUCUGGAGGGGAAGACACUCUAUUCAUGUCUACCGGAGUUCCUCUGAGUGGAAAAUGGAAACCACCUCCCACUUGAUUAAGUGCCUUCCCUGAUGCCUGUCCUCAGAGUCGUUCUCAUUCUCUUCCCUGCUGUGAAGCCAGGUUUAGGAGGAGAUGGAAGAGAUAAGCAGAUGAAUAAAAAUAAGCAGACCAGAUAAUGUUGGCUGAUU